rfam:Astyanax mexicanus Tnplaced_Scaffold4549, whole genome shotgun sequence.
GGGGAUGUAGCUCAGUGGUAGAGCGCAUGCUUUGCGUGUAUGAGGUCCUGGGUUCAAUCCCCAGUAUCUCCA